AGCGGAGCGCCGGGCCAGGAAGCAGCCGAGCGGCGUUUUCCGAGCCUCGCUCAGCGACCGUGACCGCGGCAACAAGUAGAAAUGAAGAAUUCCUCCUGCCCCUUAGGGCUGGUUAUUGUGGUACAGCGGGUUAAGCUGCUGGCAUCCCUUAUGGGCGCCGGUUCAAGUCCUGGCUGCUCCACUUUGGAUCGAGCUCCCUGCUAAUGCACCUGAAAAAGCAGCAGAAGAUGACCCAAGUGUUUGGGGCCCCUGACGCCCACGUGGGAGACCCAGAAGAAGCUCCUGACCCAGCCCCAACUGUUGCGGCCAUUUGGGGAGUGAACCAGUGGAUGGAAGCUGGUCAUAGAAUCCAGAAGCCAUGUCCCCCAAGGCCAGCCAUGAAACCCAGAAAUACUUCUUUACCAUUCCGCGAGCUGACCAUAAAGUCUCUGCCGUACCUUGUGUGAUGCAGGCCCUCAAUCCUAUCCCUGCAAAAGAAAGGAGGCUGCACAGGUUGGCCCAGGAGAACCCGUGGAGGGUUCUGCUGCUCUCUCCAAGCCCAUCGUCAUGAGGUCACAGCCCUCUGCCCAAUCACAGCUCUACACCACUGUGCAUUCUUCGCUGAAUGCCCGAGGAAAAAUGGACAGCUCGCCCCGGGGCCUUUCAGCCUUCCAAGUGCAGACUCCUGUGUCUCAUGAAACUUAGGCUAAAUAAAUUGUUAUG